rnacentral:misc_RNA from 1 species
CCCAUAUAUAUUUGCACCAGCCACAAAUAUAUGUGUCUUCCGGUUGAAACCAAGAGCAGCAAGCAUAAGUACUGCUUCUUCAGGUGUCAAUGGACACAGGCCUUCUGACCUGAGCACUGAUGGAGAAAGCCUUUUUGUCUUCUCAAUAAGUGCCAAUGCAGGGAAAUGAAUUGCACGGUAUGCUUCCAACACUUUUCUCUCUUCUUCACCACCACCAUAUUCACAUAAAGAAUGUGC